UACAGAGGGUGCUAGCGUUGUUCGGAAUCACUGGGUUUAAAGGGUGCGUAGGUGGGCUAGUAAGUCCGUGGUGAAAUCUCCAAGCUUAACUUGGAAACUGCCGUGGAUACUAUUAGUCUUGAAUAUUGUGGAGGUAAGCGGAAUAUGUCAUGUAGCGGUGAAAUGCUUAGAUAUGACAUAGAACACCGAUAGCGAAGGCAGCUUGCUACACAAUCAUUGACACUGAGGCACGAAAGCGUGGGGAUCAAACAGG
rnacentral:rRNA from 1 species